GACGAUCGCUGGCGGCGUGCUUAACACAUGCAAGUCGAACGGAAAGGCCCUGCUUUUGUGGGGUGCUCGAGUGGCGAACGGGUGAGUAACACGUGAGUAACCUGCCCUUGACUUUGGGAUAACUUCAGGAAACUGGGGCUAAUACCGGAUAGGAGCUCCUGCUGCAUGGUGGGGGUUGGAAAGUUUCGGCGGUUGGGGAUGGACUCGCGGCUUAUCAGCUUGUUGGUGGGGUAGUGGCUUACCAAGGCUUUGACGGGUAGCCGGCCUGAGAGGGUGACCGGCCACAUUGGGACUGAGAUACGGCCCAGACUCCUACGGGAGGCAGCAGUGGGGAAUAUUGCACAAUGGGCGGAAGCCUGAUGCAGCAACGCCGCGUGCGGGAUGACGGCCUUCGGGUUGUAAACCGCUUUCGCCUGUGACGAGGCGUGAGUGACGGUAAUGGGUAAAGAAGCACCGGCUAACUACGUG
rnacentral:rRNA from 1 species